UACGUAGGCGGUUUAUUAAGUCAGAUGUGAAAGCCCCGGGCUUAACCUGGGAACUGCAUUUGAUACUGGUAAGCUAGAGUAUGGUAGAGGGGGUAGAAUUCCUAGUGUAGCGGUGAAAUGCGUAGAUAUUAGGAGGAAUACCAGUGGCGAAGGCGGCCCCCUGGACCAAUACUGACGCUGAGGUACGAAAGCGUGGGUAGCGAACA
rnacentral:rRNA from 1 species